rnacentral:rRNA from 1 species
GUAUGCCUACGGGGCGCAGCAGUGGGGAAUAUUACGCAAUGGGCGAAAGCCUGACGCAGCGACGCCGCGUGAGGGAUGAAGGUCUUCGGAUCGUAAACCUCUAUCAGCAGGGAAGAACGGUCACUGUGCUAAUCAGCAGUGAAUUGACGGUACCUGCAACGGCAGCACCGGCUAACUCCGUGCCAGCAGCCGCGGUAAUACGGAGGGUGCGAGCGUUAAUCGGAAUUACUGGGCGUAAAGCGCUCGUAGGCGGUAUGUCAAGUCAAGGGUGAAAUCCCCGCGCUCAACGUGGGAACUGCCUUUGA